rfam:Rhesus adenovirus 52, complete genome.
GACUCCCUUCCGUAGCUCGGGGGGUAAAGUCGCAAGGGUGCGGCGGCGGGGAACCCCGGUUCGAGACCGGCCGGAUCCGCCGCUCCCGAUGCGCCUGGCCCCGCAUCCACGACGUCCGCGCCGAGACCCAGCCGCGACGCUCCGCCCCAAUACGGAGGGGAGUCUUU